rnacentral:rRNA from 1 species
CCUACGGGUGGCAGCAGUGGGGAAUAUUGGGCAAUGGGCGCAAGCCUGACCCAGCAACGCCGCGUGAAGGUAGAAGGCUUUCGGGUGGUAAACUUCUUUUCUCAGGGACGAAUCAAGUUACGGUACCUGAGGACUAAGCUACGGCUAGCUACGGGCCAGCAGCCGGGGGAAUCCGUAGGUGGCAAGCGUUAUCCGAUUUUACGGGUGGUAAGGGUGGCGGAGACGGCGAUGCAAGCCAGGAGUGCAAGCCCGGGGCCCAACCCCGGGACUGCUCUUGGGACUGCGUGGCUGGAGUGCAGGAGCGGCAGGAGGAAUUCCUGGUGUAGCGGUGAAAUGCGUAGAUAGCAGGAGGAACACCGGUGGCGAAGGCGGCCUGCUGGACUGCAACUGACGUUGAGGCCCGAAAGCGUGGGGAGCAAACAGGAUUAGAUACCCCAGUAGUC